AACGAACGCUGGCGGCAUGCCUAACACAUGCAAGUCGAACGAUGCCUCCGGGCAUAGUGGCGCACGGGUGCGUAACGCGUGGGAAUCUGCCCUUGGGUUCGGAAUAACUCGCCGAAAGGCGAGCUAAUACCGGAUGAUGACGUAAGUCCAAAGAUUUAUCGCCCAAGGAUGAGCCCGCGUAGGAUUAGCUAGUUGGUGGGGUAAAGGCCCACCAAGGCGACGAUCCUUAGCUGGUCUGAGAGGAUGAUCAGCCACACUGGGACUGAGACACGGCCCAGACUCCUACGGGAGGCAGCAGUGGGGAAUAUUGGACAAUGGGCGAAAGCCUGAUCCAGCAAUGCCGCGUGAGUGAUGAAGGCCUUAGGGUUGUAAAGCCCUUUUACCCGGGAUGAUAAUGACAGUACCGGGAGAAUAAGCUCCGGCUAACUCCGUG
rnacentral:rRNA from 1 species